rnacentral:rRNA from 1 species
UACGUAUGGUGCAAGCGUUAUCCGGAUUUACUGGGUGUAAAGGGAGCGUAGACGGAGCGGCAAGUCUGAUGUGAAAACCCGGGGCUCAACCCCGGGACUGCAUUGGAAACUGUCAAUCUAGAGUACCGGAGAGGUAAGCGGAAUUCCUAGUGUAGCGGUGAAAUGCGUAGAUAUUAGGAGGAACACCAGUGGCGAAGGCGGCUUACUGGACGGUAACUGACGUUGAGGCUCGAAAGCGUGGGGAGCAAACAGG